rnacentral:tRNA from 1 species
GUCAGUGUGGCCGAGUGGUUAAGGCGUGUGACUAGAAAUCACAUGGGAUUUUCCCGCACAGGUUCAAAUCCUGUCGCUGACG